GGCCCAGAUCGUUUACCGUGAAAAAAUUAGAGUGUUCAAAGCAGGCAGAUCCAAUUUUCUGCCACCGAAUACAUUAGCAUGGGAUAAUGGAAUAGGACCCUGUCCUCCUAUUUUCAGUUGGUUUUGGCAGCGCGAGGACUAGGGUAAUGAUUAAUAGGGAUAGUUGGGGGCAUUAAUAUUUAAUUGUCAGAGGUGAAAUUCUUGGAUUUAUGAAAGAUUAACUUCUGCGAAAGCAUCUGCCAAGGACGUUUUCGUUAAUCAAGAACGAAAGUUAGGGGAUCGAAGACGAUCAGAUACCGUCGUAGUCUUAACCAUAAACGAUGCCGACCAGCGAUUAGGAGACGUUGAAUACAAAACACCACCAUCGGCGCGGUCGUCCUUGGCGUCGGUCUUUCGGGGCCGGCGCGGGGGCGGCUUAGCCCGGUGGCACCGGUGAAUGACUCCCCUAGCAGCUUGUGAGA
rnacentral:rRNA from 1 species